GACAGAGGGUGCAAACGUUGCUCGGAAUUACUGGGCGUAAAGCGCGUGUAGGUGGAUUGGUGUGUCAGAUGUGAAAUCCCUGGGCUCAACCCAGGAACUGCACCUGAAACUACCAGUCUUGAGUGGUGGAGAGGGAAGUGGAAUUCCUGGUGUAGAGGUGAAAUUCGUAGAUAUCAGGAAGAACACCAGUGGCGAAGGCGGCUUCCUGGACACCAACUGACGCUGAGACGCGAAAGCGUGGGGAGCAAACAGG
rnacentral:rRNA from 1 species